GGAUUUGUAGCUCAGUGGUAGAGCACUUGCCUGGCAUGUGUGAGGCCCUGGGAUCGAUCCUCAGCACCA
rnacentral:tRNA from 1 species